rnacentral:misc_RNA from 1 species
AGAAUGGAAGACAUGGACCGAGACUAUAACGGUCAGUAAUAAAAGAGCAAGAGAUAACAUGAAUAACAUAAAGUCAAGGCCUAAACUCUACCCAUACACUAAAAGCAUGACCAAUUUGAGUGCCCUGGCAACAGAUUUGUGUUUCUUCUACUUGUUGGCCUUAGUUCAUUGUUAUCAGAAUCUAGAUCUCCUGUUUUGUGGUCUAGCAUCACUCUCUGGUCGAUUGGUCCUCCUACUACCAUAGCUUGGAGACCAAUCCAUUGGGGAAGGCACAGACUCACUCAGGAAAGAGAGACAGAGCUCAAGUUCGACAUCCACUGAAAUUUCCAAUCCCGCAUCAGCCUCUGAG